AGAGUUUGAUCCUGGCUCAGGAUGAACGCUGGCGGCGUGCCUAAUACAUGCAAGUCGAGCGAACGGACGAGAAGCUUGCUUCUCUGAUGUUAGCGGCGGACGGGUGAGUAACACGUGGAUAACCUACCUAUAAGACUGGGAUAACUUCGGGAAACCGGAGCUAAUGCCGGAUAAUAUUUUGAACCGCAUGGUUCAAAAGUGAAAGACGGUCUUGCUGUCACUUAUAGAUGGAUCCGCGCUGCAUUAGCUAGUUGGUAAGGUAACGGCUUACCAAGGCAACGAUGCAUAGCCGACCUGAGAGGGUGAUCGGCCACACUGGAACUGAGACACGGUCCAGACUCCUACGGGAGGCAGCAGUAGGGAAUCUUCCGCAAUGGGCGAAAGCCUGACGGAGCAACGCCGCGUGAGUGAUGAAGGUCUUCGGAUCGUAAAACUCUGUUAUUAGGGAAGAACAUAUGUGUAAGUAACUGUGCACAUCUUGACGGUACCUAAUCAGAAAGCCACGGCUAACUACGUGCCAGCAGCCGCGGUAAUACGUAGGUGGCAAGCGUUAUCCGGAAUUAUUGGGCGUAAAGCGCGCGUAGGCGGUUUUUUAAGUCUGAUGUGAAAGCCCACGGCUCAACCGUGGAGGGUCAUUGGAAACCGGAAAACUUGAGUGCAGAAGAGGAAAGUGGAAUUCCAUGUGUAGCGGUGAAAUGCGCAGAGAUAUGGAGGAACACCAGUGGCGAAGGCGACUUUCUGGUCUGUAACUGACGCUGAUGUGCGAAAGCGUGGGGAUCAAACAGGAUUAGAUACCCUGGUAGUCCACGCCGUAAACGAUGAGUGCUAAGUGUUAGGGGGUUUCCGCCCCUUAGUGCUGCAGCUAACGCAUUAAGCACUCCGCCUGGGGAGUACGACCGCAAGGUUGAAACUCAAAGGAAUUGACGGGGACCCGCACAAGCGGUGGAGCAUGUGGUUUAAUUCGAAGCAACGCGAAGAACCUUACCAAAUCUUGACAUCCUUUGACAACUCUAGAGAUAGAGCCUUCCCCUUCGGGGGACAAAGUGACAGGUGGUGCAUGGUUGUCGUCAGCUCGUGUCGUGAGAUGUUGGGUUAAGUCCCGCAACGAGCGCAACCCUUAAGCUUAGUUGCCAUCAUUAAGUUGGGCACUCUAAGUUGACUGCCGGUGACAAACCGGAGGAAGGUGGGGAUGACGUCAAAUCAUCAUGCCCCUUAUGAUUUGGGCUACACACGUGCUACAAUGGACAAUACAAAGGGCAGCGAAACCGCGAGGUCAAGCAAAUCCCAUAAAGUUGUUCUCAGUUCGGAUUGUAGUCUGCAACUCGACUACAUGAAGCUGGAAUCGCUAGUAAUCGUAGAUCAGCAUGCUACGGUGAAUACGUUCCCGGGUCUUGUACACACCGCCCGUCACACCACGAGAGUUUGUAACACCCGAAGCCGGUGGAGUAACCUUUUAGGAGCUAGCCGUCGAAGGUGGGACAAAUGAUUGGGGUGAAGUCGUAACAAGGUAGCCGUAUCGGAAGGUGCGGCUGGAUCACCU
rnacentral:rRNA from 1 species